rnacentral:rRNA from 1 species
CUACGGGUUGCUGCAGUGGGGAAUAUUGGACAAUGGGGGAAACCCUGAUCCAGCAAUGCCGCGUGUGUGAAGAAGGCCUGCGGGUUGUAAAGCACUUUCGGUUGGGAGGACUGCUUCUAGCACUAAUAUUGUUGGAAGUUGACGUUACCUUCAGAAGAAGCACCGGGUAACUCCGUGCCAGCAGCCGCGGUAAUACGGGAGGGUGCAAGCGUUAAUCGGAAUUACUGGGCGUAAAGCGCGCGUAGGCGGCUAGAUCAGUCGGGUGUGAAAGCCCCGGGCUUAACCUGGGAACUGCAUCCGAUACUGUCUAGCUUGAGUACAGGAGAGGAGAGUGGAAUUCCACAUGUAGCGGUGAAAUGCGUAGAUAUGUGGAGGAACACCAAUGGCGAAGGCAGCUCUCUGGCCUGAUACUGACGCUGAGGUGCGAAAGCGUGGGGAGCAAACAGGAUUAGAUACCCGCGUAGUC